GCCCGUCUAGCUCACCGGUAGAGCGCCUCACUAGUAGGCUCCUCUCUACUGAAAUGAGGAGGCAACAGGUUCGACUCCUGUGAUGGGCA